rnacentral:rRNA from 1 species
CCAGCUCCAAUAGCGUAUAUUUAAGUUGUUGCAGUUAAAAAGCUCGUAGUUGGAUUUCGGGCGGGUGACGGUGGUCCGCCUCUGGUGUGCACUGCUGUUCAUCCGCCUUUCUGUCGGGGACGGGCUCCUGGGCUUCACUGUCCGGGACUCGGGUUCGACGAUGUUACUUUGAGUAAAUUAGAGUGUUCAAAGCAGGCGAUCGCCCUGAAUACAUUAGCAUGGAAUAGCACGAUAGGACUCUGGCCUAUUCUGCUGGUCUGUAGGACCGGAGUAAUGAUUAAGAGGGACAGUCGGGGGCAUUCAUAUUUCAUUGUCAGAGGUGAAAUUCUUGGAUUUAUGAAAGAUGAACUUCUGCGAAAGCAUUUGCCAAGGAUGUUUUCA